CGCUACUACCGAUUGAAUGGCUUAGUGAGCCUUUGGGAUCGGCAGCUUGUACCGGCAACGAGCAGGCCGCUGAAAACUUAGGCAAACUUGGUCAUUUAGAGGAAGUAAAAGUCGUAACAAGGUU
rnacentral:rRNA from 1 species